UGAAUGCGCAAGGAAGUACAAAAGGCACACAGGCAGAGACUAGGAUGUCUCUGGAACGGAAUCGUGAUCGUCUGUAAUUGAAAUGCCAUCUGCGGCGGCGGCGGCGGCCGAUUGAUGAACAAAGCAGGAUCGGCUGGGAUAGUUGUCCGCGCAACAUCCUUGUGAUAGUGUGCGUGAACUUGCACGCAGCAGUGCUACGUGUGGCCAGACUGUACAGGCUUAUCCAACAUGGAGAAAAGGUUGCACAGAGCAUAAAGUAGGCGAGUAGGAACAUCGUGACCUCUACGAAACUGGAGGCAGAAACAGCACGCAGGAAACUCCCCUGCGCGCCACCUACCCUACAAUUCCCCAAACCCGAAGGACCUAGGGACGCGAUAAGUCUUCUAUAGUCACCUUCCCGAAACUAAACGACCAAAUAAUACAAUGUGGACAGUGUGGACCACCAUCGCGAGCAUCCUCCCAGCCUCUUCUCAGGAAAUUCGGUGUGGAAGGAGAGACACUGGGUGCCAUUCAGCGGAAACAACGAACCAGCACUAUUCGAAGCAGAUAGACGAGUCAAAGGAGAGGAUCCAAGAGAUUCCAGCUGUAAUCAAGCCACAAGAACGUUAUCGGAAUAACUAGCGGCCCCACGAGGUGUUUCGAUAGACGUUUGGGGAAUCCCACGCGAGGUGUCGCCUAACGCAACUCGUUCGCGGAUUAAGUCCUGCCAGUUUGGGUCCAUUUCGCAGAGGAGACCAGCACAGCGCUACCAAGUGGAUUCUGAUACGCUAGAGGAGACGGGGUGGCUAGAAUCUCUGCGGUCUGCUACAUCUAUUUAUAGCGUGCGCCAUACUAAUGCACAUGCGCCUAUGCACCGCGCCAACACAGCCAGUCCCGAGCAUAACGGGCUUUUACAUGCUGCACUGGAUAUUCCACGUGGGCCCUCCCUCCUCCUGGCCCCUUCCACGUUCGCCCCUCCUCUUCUCGUCUUUCUCAGGAUUCCCUGUUUCUCGUGGCAUCGCCGAUGUCUGCGGAGGUCUCUCGCUUUACACGCGUGCGAACGCACGUGCGGCUGCCUCUGGAGGAAUGCACCGAACCGGGCAAAGCGAUUUAUGCGUGUGCACAGGUCCGACCGCGUGAACUUCGCACUUUUCUUGGCGAGGGUCAUCGAUGGUCGUCCAUAUUUAUAGGCGAGUUGAACUUCAGUCGAUGCGUUUCACGUGUAGUGUGUACGAGAUACCUUCGAACUACACGCUGGGAGGUUCGAAAUGAACGUUUGGAAGAUACAGGGACUCCUAGGGACUUUGUAAGUCGGAUCAUAAUCGAGUGGCCGUUUGAGGACACUGAGGAGUCGUCCCCCACCACUCUAAGCCACGCCUCUUGGCCACACCUUCCUCCACCACCAUGACCUCAAGCCACGCCCUUCGUAUGUUAUACUAGCUUUCACUAAAACACAAUGAUUUCAACGAUACAAAUACUUUGGUUACAGUCUAGAAACACGAGGUGCCAGAUAUUCUAAUUUGAUAAACUACCAAAUAAAAUAUACGCUGCAACAAAAAUCUGUGCGCAAGUGUUUUAGCGACUGUCAUUUAAGAAUAUCUGUCUCUAUGCGCGAUGUAAACAGUUACUUACUGUUCUAGAUUUCCUUAUGUCGGUUUUAUGUUUCGUUUAUAGGUUAUGUUACGCACUCUGCGCUAAAAAGUCUCACGAAAACGAACCGUAAAGAGGGAAUGAAGUUUCGUUUACGACUCCGCACAAUAUCUAAAUAUCACGAGACUUUGAACGCACCCCUCCUCCCGCCUAUGAAAAUUUACGUUCUAUUCGCAACCGUCGCGAACAAAUAUCAUAGCGUCGGGGUAGCCAGGUCUCGAGGGACCUCGGGCGUUAUAACUUCGGCAGUUGUUACUUAUAAAUUACCAUCGCGGUGGUUGUAACUCAUAGACUGUACGACGCCUUUAUAACUUAUAACCCGGCCGUAUAAGUUAUAAACGCGGCGCGUAUAAUUUAUAUGUUACGACUGCUGAUGUUAUAAAGCGCCACGCCGUGCCAAUAAACGGCAUUAUUUAAUACGAGAUUAAUUCGGGUACGACAAUCUUCCACCGCCUCUUUCCUUUUAUCGAGUAACGAAUUCAGGGUGUAUUUAUCGACCUCCUGCCAUGUUGUCUCCUGGACAUCGUCGUUUCAAUCGUUCCAUCAAUCUUCUUGAUCAUGUUCGGUCACGUGACGCGCGUACCCAUUCAAACGUUAUUCCCGUAGAAUUACUUCUGUUUGUUUUUAUUAGAUAAAUCACUUACCACGUGAAAUCAAGUAAAGUAUUUCAAUAUUUUUACCGUAUUAGCUUUUCGGUUUACGCUUAGUUGAAUUGAAAAUUGUGUCCAAAUUCAAUCAUCCGAUGAAUCGCCUAGUUCCUAACCUAGUCCUCUGGUCGUUGUGUAAUCAGGGUCGUAACAAGCGUAAUGUAAUAGAGCCAAAUGUCGUCUGAACGUUUUUCACGGCCUAUGUAACGAGAUUUGCUUUUUCACGUUGGCGAGACCGGUCACGGCGACGGUAAAUUGACCGAUAAUGUUGCUUGGCACUGAUUGCCGGAUAGCAAUGAUGAAUGCACGCGGGGCGCCCCUCGGCACGGUCUGUCCUUUACCAUGUACGCCAAGGUCGCUAACCUUACCGAGCCCUCGGGUCCUCUUUGGCGCCACACUCUCUUCGUACUUUUAGCCUGGCUCUGUGUUGUUGCAGCCGUUGUCCCGACCGCGGACAAAAACACCGUCUUCCUCGAACGAAACGACACGGUCAUUCUGUCAUGGUGUCCCCAAAAUAACCGCCUACUUUCACUACCAACUGUGAACGCAAAAUAAAAUUCGUCGACUCAAUUUCUUCGAUUAAUACGAGUCACGUUAUAAUUAAUAUAUUAUUCUUCCGAUUGUUUAGCCGUCGAAGAGGAUAGUUUUCCUUAAUUUAUUUUAUGUUAUAUUUACUUGUC